CGGACGGGUGAGUAACACGUGGAUAACCUACCUAUAAGACUGGGAUAACUUCGGGAAACCGGAGCUAAUACCGGAUAAUAUAUUGAACCGCAUGGUUCAAUAGUGAAAGACGGUUUUGCUGUCACUUAUAGAUGGAUCCGCGCCGCAUUAGCUAGUUGGUAAGGUAACGGCUUACCAAGGCAGCGAUGCGUAGCCGACCUGAGAGGGUGAUCGGCCACACUGGAACUGAGACACGGUCCAGACUCCUACGGGAGGCAGCAGCC
rnacentral:rRNA from 1 species